rnacentral:rRNA from 1 species
GACGAACGCUGGCGGCGUGCUUAACACAUGCAAGUCGAGCGGCGCGGCGAACGGGUGAGUAACGCGUGAGUAACUGCCCCCCUCUCUGGGAUAACAGUUGGAAACGGCUGCUAAUACCGGAUAGUGGGGGAUGACUCGGGUCUUAUCGGCUUGUUGGUGGGGUAGUGGCCUACCAAGGCGACGACUGGUAGCCGGCCUGAGAGGGCGAACGUCGACAAUGGUCUGCGAUACGGCCCAAAAUCCUACGGGAGGCAGCAGUGGGGAAUAUGGCACAAUGGUGCAAACCCAGAUGCAGCAGCGCCGGGUGCGGUAAGACGGCUUUCGGGAUGAGAACCGCUUUGAGACAUGCCGCGGUAGUGACAGAAGAAGCACCGGCUAACUACGUGCCAGCAGCCGCGGUAAUAC